rnacentral:rRNA from 1 species
UACGUAGGUGGCAAGCGUUGUCCGGGAUUACCGGGUGUAAAGGGAGCGCAGGCGGGAAGCCAAGUCAGCUGUGAAAACUACGGGCUUAACUUGUAGACUGCAGUUGAAACUGGUUUUCUUGAGUGAAGUAGAGGUUGGCGGAAUUCCGAGUGUAGCGGUGAAAUGCGUAGAUAUUCGGAGGAACACCGGUGGCGAAGGCGGCCAACUGGGCUUUAACUGACGCUGAGGCUCGAAAGUGUGGGGAGCAAACAGG